AUCCCACCAUGAUAUCUUCCACAAGUUUCACAUUGGCGGGGAGGGUAGGAACUUCUAGUUGUUCGAUGACUGGACCUUAGUGGUUUCUGUCUUAAUGAUCCAUCUCUAUCGUAUCCCUGAGCUCGGGGUUCCUCAAAUUCUUUUCUCUUUCUCAAAUUACUGUUCGAGCUCUGACCCAUAGGUUUCUCCCUUUUUUCCAUUUCACACUGCCCUUGUGGGGGUUGGGUCUGUACUUGGGCUUGGGCUGACAGAUUAUUAGCCAGUUGUUGAAAGAAAGUGGCCAUUUGUUGGGCCAUUUGUGCAGUAAUUUGUACCGGUAAAACUAGUACAGUCAGACCUUCGACACUUUGUGGAGCUGGGGCCUCAACUUGUUCUUCUGCCAUCACAGACUGUUCUAUUGUCUCAUUCUUCUCUUCCAUAUCUUUUCACAAUAUUGUCUAUUCCUGUACAACUAACAUAAGGAGAUUCCUCUCCAUUAGUUCAUAUUUAUGAUGUAAAUAUACUAUAUGUAUCAAACAUUUGAGCAGUUGUAGUUACCGACAAAAAGAUUUCAAAUUCACAGUUCGAAAUUCACUUUAAAACCAUUGCUCUGAUACCACUAAAACAUG
rnacentral:misc_RNA from 1 species